rnacentral:lncRNA from 1 species
CGUGCAGGUAGCAGUGGGAUCCCUGAGGAUGGGAGCCAGUGCACUGAGAUCUCUCGCCUCCGAGGCUAGGGUCCUGUGGUCCGCCCGAGGGCCGCAACCCCCGCCCUUUCAUGUGCCUGCCUCGCCCCCGGCUGCGCCGAUGCUCCUGCUGCUGCUGCUGCUUACCGCGCCGGACGCCGGGGCUGCGGGACAGGGCGGCACUGGCCGGCUACUGGGACGCCGGCGCCUAGGGACACCGCAGCAUGAGGCAGAGGGUCCGUCGGGUCCUUCCUCCGCGGCCUGGCCCCCGGGGCCUCCCCGUCCCGCUGCCCCGGCCUGGCACUGGCGUGCGCCAAGGGUGGGCUCCUGCGAACUUGGCAGAAACAGGAACUAAAGAGUUUUAACUGGGCACCGCUAUAGCAGUGGCUGUUGAUCAUCGUCUCCUGGCUGGAACCAGGGAAUCCUGUCGUUCAGGGAGGAGCAACGCAGCAGCAGGCAUGCCUUCUCAGCCCCAGCUGACUCACUCUGGGGUGGAUGGAUGUAUUUACUUACUUAUUUAUUAUUUGGUUCUUGCUCUGUCGCCCAGGCUGGAGUACAGUGAUGCAAUCUCGGCUCACUGCAGCCUGGACCUCCCGGGCUCAAGCGAUCCCACCUCAGCCUCCCAAGUAGCUGGGACUUCAGGCACAUGCCACUACGCCAGCUAAUUUUUUAAACGUUUUGUAGAGACAGGCUCUCGCCCUGUUGCCCAGGCUGGUCUUGAACUCCUGGCCUCAAGCCGUCUGCCCACCUUGGCCUCCCAAAGUGCUGGGAUUACAGGUGUGAGUUACCACACUCAGCCCACUCGGUUUUGAGUGGCCAUUUGCUUUGACUCAGCAAACACUUCUGAUGGUAACAAAGCACCAACUGAGUGGCUGGUUUCAAUCCUACUCUUGCACCCAACACCGCAACAUUUUAUCUACCUGGAGCAAACGCUCUGGGGUCCUGAGGAGCUGGCCACACUGCCCAUUUUGCUGGUGGGACAGUGGGAGGCCCUGCCCUCCUCCCAUCCCACACCUCUUAGGCAAGAGCUGUGCCCAGGAAAUGUCACCUGUAACUGGUCUGCACAGACCCUGUCUUCCAAAAGGGUGCUGUGCCUCCACCAGACCCCACGGGCAGUACAUUGGUCAAGCACAUGCAAGACACGCCAAGGCCAAGGCCUGACUGAUUGGACAGUAAAGACACAAUGAGCCCCUCUCGUUCGAAGCUGAUUACUCACAGAGUGAAAAUAAGAGAAGCCUGAGGUGGCAGCUCCCUCCCGUCCUGGUGCCACACACUAAAAAGGACAGCACCGAAACAAAAGGGGUCAGAGAGCACGCGCUGAGGGACACCCACUGCGGAGCAGCCCCUGGAGACUGCGCCGGG